UACGGAGGGUGCGAGCGUUGUCCGGAAUCACUGGGCGUAAAGGGCGCGUAGGCGGCCCGGUAAGCGUGCGGUGAAAGCCCGGGGCUCAACCCCGGGAGGCCAGGGGAUACUGCUCGGCUAGAGACAGGCAGAGGCUGGUGGAAUUCCGGGUGUAGCGGUGGAAUGCGUAGAGAUCCGGAGGAACACCUGAGGCGAAGGCGGCCAGCUGGGCCUGAUCUGACGCUGAGGUGCGAAAGCGUGGGGAGCGAACAGG
rnacentral:rRNA from 1 species